AACCUACGGGGGGCAGCAGUGGGGAAUAUUGGGCAAUGGGCGCAAGCCUGACCCAGCAACGCCGCGUGAAGGAAGAAGGCCCUCGGGUUGUAAACUUCUUUUAACAGGGGCGAAACAAAUGACGGUACCUGUUGAAUAAGCCACGGCUAACUACGUGCCAGCAGCCGCGGUAAUACGUAGGUGGCAAGCGUUAUCCGGAUUUACUGGGCGUAAAGGGCGUGUAGGCGGGAAUGCAAGUCAGAUGUGAAAACUCAGGGCUCAACCCUGAGCCUGCAUUUGAAACUGUAUUUCUUGAGUGCUGGAGA
rnacentral:rRNA from 1 species